rnacentral:tRNA from 2 species
GCGCCGCUAGCUCAAUUGGUAGAGCAACUGACUCUUAAUCAGUAGGUUCGGGGUUCGAUUCCCUGGCGGCGUACCA